AGAACCAACAGUAGAGCAGAGAGAGAGGUUAUCCUCCUCAGAACCAACAGUAGAACAGAGAUGUUAUCCUCAGAACCAACAGUAGAACAGAGAGGUUAUCCUCCUCAGAACCAACAGUAGAACAGAGAUGUUAUCCUCAAAACCAACAGUUAACACUGGACGGCUAGUGUCCUCUUUUCAUAAUUGAAUGGAAACGUAUGAAUGUCAAGGCAUUGCAUCAUUUAUAAUAAAUCAGACGGUAACAGGUCAUAUCAAACACCCUAAUCUCAAGUAUUUAGCCCCUUGGAUUUUGUUGUGUUAAAAUUGGAUUGGAAUGGAUUUGAUUGUGAUUUUAUUUAUUGUUCUACACAAAAUACAUUUCUACACAUUAAUAAAAACAAAUAACAAAAAUCAUUGCAUAAAAAUUCACCUCCUUUGUUUAAGCAAACCUAAAUGAGUUCAGGAGUAAAUUGUUGUUUAACAAAUUAUAAAUUACCUGUACUGUAUGAAAUAGUAGGGGUUGACAUGAUUCCUGAUUGACUACCCCUUCAUCUGUCCCCCAUACAUACGAAAGGUCCCUCGGUCAACUAUUGAAUUUCAAGCACAGAUUAAACUACAAAGACCAGGGAGCGUUUUUGAAAGUCUCAUUGCCACCCAGACACAACAAGUAUACAGUCCUCCUGAACGGAGGGCAGGAAGGAUAAUACCACGAGAGACCCUUGGUGAGUUUAAAACAGCUACAGAGUGUAAUGGCUGUGACAGGAGAUAACCGAGGACGGCUCAACAACUACAAAACAAGCAUCCUGUAUAUAACAAGGCACUGAAGUAAAACUUUUUUCUUCAAACACGGCAAAAGGAAUAAACAUUUUGGCAUAAAUGCUAAGUCUUAUGUUUGGGGCAAAUCCAACACGUCACUGAGUAACUGCCUCGUCCUAACCUGACACACCAGGCUACAUAAAACUGGAGUGCCUUACCAAGAUGACAUUGCAUGUUGCUGAGUGGCCUAGUUACAGUUUAGAGACUUAAAUCUGCUUGAAAAUAUGUAGACUUUUGCACAAUUGAGGUGUGGAAAGCUCUCAGGGGAAAGUUCAGUCCAGAGCGCAUCGCUGUGUUGCCUUUUUAUACACUUUCCUGUCUACGGAGUGACCUCAGCCACGGCUGGUGCCGUUUGAGAUUGAGGACGAUUAUUUAUUUUCAUGAGGAUGGCUUUAUUUCUAUUACAGCAUAUUGGAUGACUGUCAUUCAUAUUUCAUUCACCCAGUUCAAUGUAUCAUCGAUAUGUUUAGGCCACGACAUGAUACUCUAAUUUGACCUAUACCCAUCAUGAGAUUGCUACAACAGACUUAGAAUGAAAGUUUACAAUGCAGGUGAAAAGGUUGAGAGAAUAAUUUGAGUAAUCAAGGUGACAGCCAGUGAGAACAUUAAAUACUACCUCACACCCUCUUGCCUGCCUCUAGCGUGUAAUCAUUUGUUCUGUUUUGCUAAUAAAAGAGUUUCUAUUGGACAAAUUCAGGUAGGUCCCUCCCCAUUUCGUGCCAUUUGCUUAAGAAACGUUUUGUAACAGAAUCGUCAGAUUUAAACACCCGCCCAAUUUACCUUCAUUUUAUUCUUGAUAGAAAUAACGCCAUUCAUUGUCAUUUAUAAUCAAUAAUUUAUUUAACUAGGGAAGUCAGUUAAGAACACAUUCUUAUUUUCAAUGACGGCCUACCGGGGAACUGCCUUGUUCAGGGGCAGAACGACAGAUUUGUACUUGUCAGCUCGGGGAUUUGAACUUGCUCUAACCACGAGGCUACCCUGCCGCUAGGUAAAAUGAGUAAGCUUUUUGAAGAUAGCCUACAUAUAGUAACUGUUCUAGAUUAUUUUUCCAGUCCUAAAGAGGGUGAAACCAGUCCUAAAGAGGCCAAAUUAAAAUCAUAUCAACAUGAGAUGUGUUACGGCCCCUCGCCACAGUGAAAUAGACUAUAAAUGGCUGUUAUGCCCUAAUAACUUGCAGGGAUUGCCAUUUUAAAGACCCAAUCUAUAGGCCUUUAAAUGGCCAAACCUGCAGCCAU
ensembl:lncRNA